GGCGGCGUGCCUAGUACAUGCAAGUCGAGCGAAGUUUUUCUGGUGCUUGCACUAGAAAAACUUAGCGGCGAACGGGUGAGUAACACGUAAAGAACCUGCCUCAUAGACUGGGACAACUAUUGGAAACGAUAGCUAAUACCGGAUAACAGUAUUUCUCGCAUGAGAGAUAUUUAAAAGUUGGUUAUGCUAACACUAUGAGAUGGCUUUGCGGUGCAUUAGCUAGUUGGUGGGGUAAAGGCCUACCAAGGCGACGAUGCAUAGCCGACCUGAGAGGGUGAUCGGCCACACUGGGACUGAGACACGGCCCAGACUCCUACGGGAGGCAGCAGUAGGGAAUCUUCCGCAAUGGGCGAAAGCCUGACGGAGCAACGCCGCGUGAGUGAAGAAGGAUUUCGGUUCGUAAAGCUCUGUUGUU
rnacentral:rRNA from 1 species